AGUUGUCAAAUCUUAUGGGGAUGGAGAUUUGACUUGUAUGGUUAAAUUUUAUUUAUUAUUUAAAUGGAUUAAUUUAGGUAAAGUUUAUUUUUGAAUAAGUAGAAAAUUAUUAUAGUGUUUAUUUUUCUUUAUGGUAAAAAAAUUAAAAUUUAAUUUAAAAAAUUAAAUUAUAUUUUUUAAUAUAUAUAUAUAUAUUUAUUUAAAUAAAUAAUUGUAGUAUUUGAAUUUAAUUAUUAAGGUAAUUUAGAAUUAGAAAUAAUAUUUAAUAUAAACAAAAUUUGUGCCAGCAGUUGCGGUUAUACUAAUUAUAUUAUUUAAUUUAUUUUGAUUGUAAUUAAUUUAUUUAUAUUAUAAUUAAAAUUAAUUUUUAUAAGUGAAAUUUAAAAUUUAUUUGGUUAUAUAUUAGUUAAUGAAUUUUAUAAUUACAAUUGUAAACUAGGAUUAGAUACCCUAUUAUUAGUAUUGAAAUAUUAAAAUUUAAAUUAUUAGAUUAUUUUGAAAAUUAAGAAUUUUGGCGGUAUUUUAAUCUUUUCAGAGGAACCUGGUUUUUAAAUGAUAGUCCACGAUUUUAUUUACUUUUUUAAUUAACUUAUAUAUCGUUGUUAUUUAAAUAUUUUAUAAGAAUUUAAUAUUUAAAAUUUUUAUUUAAAAAAUAAAUCAGAUCAAGACAUAGUUUAUAAUAAAGUUAAAGUGGGUUACAUUUAAUUUAUUUUGGAAUAAAUUUUAUUAUUAGAAUUUUGAAUUUGAAUUUGAUAGUAAUUUUUAUAAAUUUAUAUAAAUGAUUAUAGUUCUAAAAUAUGUACAUAUUGCCCGUCACUUUCAUUUAAUAUGGAAUAAGUCGUAACAAAGUAGAUUUACUGGAAAGUGAGUCUAGUAUC
rnacentral:ncRNA from 1 species